rnacentral:rRNA from 1 species
GACGAACGCUGGCGGCGUGCUUAACACAUGCAAGUCGAACGGUAAGGCCCUUCGGGGUACACGAGUGGCGAACGGGUGAGUAACACGUGGGUGAUCUGCCCUGCACUUCGGGAUAAGCCUGGGAAACUGGGUCUAAUACCGGAUAGGACUCCUGCCUGCAUGGGUGGGGGUGGAAAGCUUUUGCGGUGUGGGAUGGGCCCGCGGCCUAUCAGCUUGUUGGUGGGGUGAUGGCCUACCAAGGCGACGACGGGUAGCCGGCCUGAGAGGGUGACCGGCCACACUGGGACUGAGAUACGGCCCAGACUCCUACGGGAGGCAGCAGUGGGGAAUAUUGCACAAUGGGCGCAAGCCUGAUGCAGCGACGCCGCGUGAGGGAUGACGGCCUUCGGGUUGUAAACCUCUUUCGCCUGUGACGAAGCGUGAGUGACGGUAAUGGGUAAAGAAGCACCGGCUAACUACGUGCCAGCCGCCGCGGUAA